rnacentral:rRNA from 1 species
CUUCGCCACUGGUGGUCUUUCCGGGAUUAUAGGAUUUCACCCCUACCCCGAAAGUACCGUCGGCCUCUCUCGCCCCCUAGCCAAACAGUAUUCCCCGCGAUCCAACGAUUGAAUCGGUGGAUUUAACAGGGAACUUGCUUGGCCAGCUACGGAUGCUUUAGGCCCAAUAAGCGUCCCCACCA